rnacentral:rRNA from 1 species
CGCGUAGGCGGUGGCGCACGUCCGGGGUGAAAGCUUUCGGCUCAACCGGAAAAGGGCCUUGGAUACGGCGCUACUCGAGGGGGGUAGGGGCAGGUGGAACUUCCGGUGGAGCGGUGAAAUGCGUUGAUAUCGGAAGGAACGCCGGUGGCGAAAGCGACCUGCUGGACCCCUUCUGACGCUGAGGCGCGAAAGCCAGGGGAGCAAACG